CGCCCCGUCAUCUGGGGAGUAGCCAGCCGCCGCAAGGCGGGCCUGCAUGUCAACAUACUUGGUCGAGAGGCCAUGGUGUGCAGGGAACGGGGAACCACCGUUCGGGCGAGACCAAUGGCACCGUUCCUCCGCUCGGCCGGGCGUGGGGAAGGGUGCUGUUGCUGUCUUGCUUACGCCCGGCCCCGGAGUUCU
rnacentral:sRNA from 2 species